rnacentral:rRNA from 1 species
GACCUCAGAUCAGACAAGGAACCUGCUGAUUUAAACAACUCCAAAACACAACGAGCAAGGAAAGACC